ACUGAGCGGCGGACGGGUGAGUAACGCGUGGGCAACCUGCCUUACACAGGGGGAUAACAGUUAGAAAUGACUGCUAAUACCGCAUAAGACCACAGGACUGCAUGGUCCGGUGGUAAAAACUCCGGUGGUGUAAGAAGGGCCCGCGUCUGAUUAGGUAGUUGGCGGGGUAACGGCCCACCAAGCCGACGAUCAGUAGCCGACCUGAGAGGGUGACCGGCCACAUUGGGACUGAGACACGGCCCAGACUCCUACGGGAGGCAGCAG
rnacentral:rRNA from 1 species